UUUAUGGAGAGUUUGAUCCUGGCUCAGGACGAACGCUGGCGGCGUGCCUAAUACAUGCAAGUCGAGCGGAGAUUUAAAAGCUUGCUUUUAAAUCUUAGCGGCGGACGGGUGAGUAACACGUGGGCAACCUGCCCUGUAGACUGGGAUAACUUCGGGAAACCGAAGCUAAUACCGGAUAAUCUUUAGCAUCACAUGGUGCAAAAGUAAAAGUUGGGUUUUACCUAACACUACAGGAUGGGCCCGCGGCGCAUUAGCUAGUUGGUAAGGUAAUGGCUUACCAAGGCGACGAUGCGUAGCCGACCUGAGAGGGUGAUCGGCCACACUGGGACUGAGACACGGCCCAGACUCCUACGGGAGGCAGCAGUAGGGAAUCUUCCGCAAUGGACGAAAGUCUGACGGAGCAACGCCGCGUGAACGAUGAAGGCCUUCGGGUCGUAAAGUUCUGUUGUUAGGGAAGAACAAGUACCGUUCGAAUAGGGCGGUACCUUGACGGUACCUAACCAGAAAGCCACGGCUAACUACGUGCCAGCAGCCGCGGUAAUACGUAGGUGGCAAGCGUUGUCCGGAAUUAUUGGGCGUAAAGCGCGCGCAGGCGGUCUCUUAAGUCUGAUGUGAAAGCCCACGGCUCAACCGUGGAGGGUCAUUGGAAACUGGGAGACUUGAGUGCAGAAGAGGAGAGUGGAAUUCCAUGUGUAGCGGUGAAAUGCGUAGAUAUAUGGAGGAACACCAGUGGCGAAGGCGACUCUCUGGUCUGUAACUGACGCUGAGGCGCGAAAGCGUGGGGAGCAAACAGGAUUAGAUACCCUGGUAGUCCACGCCGUAAACGAUGAGUGCUAGGUGUUAGGGGUUUCGAUGCCCUUAGUGCCGAAGUUAACACAUUAAGCACUCCGCCUGGGGAGUACGACCGCAAGGUUGAAACUCAAAGGAAUUGACGGGGGCCCGCACAAGCAGUGGAGCAUGUGGUUUAAUUCGAAGCAACGCGAAGAACCUUACCAGGUCUUGACAUCCUUUGACAACCCUAGAGAUAGGGCUUUCCCCUUCGGGGGACAAAGUGACAGGUGGUGCAUGGUUGUCGUCAGCUCGUGUCGUGAGAUGUUGGGUUAAGUCCCGCAACGAGCGCAACCCUUGAUCUUAGUUGCCAGCAUUCAGUUGGGCACUCUAAGGUGACUGCCGGUGACAAACCGGAGGAAGGUGGGGAUGACGUCAAAUCAUCAUGCCCCUUAUGACCUGGGCUACACACGUGCUACAAUGGAUGGUACAAAGGGCAGCAAAACCGCGAGGUUGAGCCAAUCCCAUAAAGCCAUUCUCAGUUCGGAUUGUAGGCUGCAACUCGCCUACAUGAAGCCGGAAUUGCUAGUAAUCGCGGAUCAGCAUGCCGCGGUGAAUACGUUCCCGGGCCUUGUACACACCGCCCGUCACACCACGAGAGUUUGUAACACCCGAAGUCGGUGGGGUAACCUUUAUGGAGCCAGCCGCCUAAGGUGGGACAGAUGAUUGGGGUGAAGUCGUAACAAGGUAGCCGUAUCGGAAGGUGCGGCUGGAUCACCUCCUUU
rnacentral:rRNA from 1 species